CCUACGGGAGGCAGCAGUAGGGAAUCUUCCACAAUGGGCGAAAGCCUGAUGGAGCAACGCCGCGUGGGUGAAGAAGGUCUUCGGAUCGUAAAACCCUGUUGUUAGAGAAGAAAGUGCGUGAGAGUAUCUGUUCACGUUUCGACGGUAUCUACCCAGAAAGCCCCGGCUAACUACGUGCCAGCAGCCGCGGUAAUACGUAGGUGGCAAGCGUUAGCCGGAUUUAUUGGGCGUAAAGGGAACGCAGGCGGUCUGUUAAGUCUGAUGUGAAAGCCUUGGGCUUAACCGGAGUAGUGCAUUGGAUACUGGGAGACUUGAGUGCAGAAGAGGAGAGUGGAACUCCAGGUGUAGCGGUGAAAUGCGUAGAUAUAUGGAAGAACACCAGUGGCGAAGGCGGCUCUCUGGACUGUAACUGACGCUGAGGUUCGAAAGCGUGGGUAGCAAACAGGAUUAGAUACCCCUGUAGUC
rnacentral:rRNA from 1 species